AACGCACGAGACCUGCGGACCUGCGGAGGGAUCAUUAAUGAGAAACUGCCCCUCGCGGGUAGACCUCCCACCCUUUGUAAACUUACCUUUGUUGCUUUGGCAGGCCCGUCUCCGGACCGCCGGCUUCGGCUGGCCAGUGCCUGCCAGAGGAUUCUAAAACUCUGUCUGUCAGUGUUGUCUGAGUCUAUAUACAAUCGUUAAAACUUUCAACAACGGAUCUCUAGAUCGGAAGAGCACACG
rnacentral:misc_RNA from 1 species